UAAGGACAUACAUAUAAAAAUCAUCAUCUUCAGUUUUGACAGACC
rnacentral:misc_RNA from 1 species